rnacentral:rRNA from 1 species
UACGUAGGGACCAAGCGUUGUUCGGAUUUACUGGGCGUAAAGGGCGCGUAGGCGGCAAUUCAAGUCAUCUGUGAAAUCUCUGGGCUUAACCCAGAACGGCCAGAUGAUACUGCUUUGCUAGAGUGCAGAAGGGGCAAUCGGAAUUCUUGGUGUAGCGGUGAAAUGCGUAGAUAUCAAGAGGAACACCUGAGGUGAAGACGGGUUGCUGGGCUGACACUGACGCUGAGGCGCGAAAGCCAGGGGAGCAAACGGG